AUCUGAGUGAGUGGAUUUUAUAAAUAUAUACGUAACGUUCUUUUCUUCAGCUGAGAAAUAUCUCAUUUUACAGAAAAGGAGGGGGUUCAACCUUACCCCGGAAGUGAUAACUUUUACCCAACCACGCCUCCAUCCACCAGCCGAACCGUCUUACAUUCGUAUCAGCCCAGCCAUACCGUCAGAUCACACGCGAAUGCGAACGUGAAAGCUGUUCGUUACAGGACCAUCACGCCACAGACGAUCCUCGAAGCUGAGCAACGGCCGACGGCCUACGCACCCCCAAUAUCUCAGCCCCCACCACCUCCAACCCCUUCUCAUGCGCAGACGGAUGAACAACAUCCGACAGCCGCUUCAAUAUCUCCGCCCACACCUCCUCCUCCUCCUCCCCCUUCUCCUGCACAGGAACAAUCCGACAGCGACUCUGAAACCGCUGAACGUGCUCCUGAGCAGCCAGCCGAACAACCCACGACCGACGAAGAGAACGCACCACCUCCUGCACCUGUACAGAAAAAACGGUUGAAGAAGAAGAAGCGGGGCAGAUUUACGCCACUUCAGAGAUUAAACAGGAUGAAGCUUGGGUACUUGCUCCUGCAAGUGAAUUCCGGCCUGGUGGAUGUGAUGCAACAAGUUCUGGCUCUGUAAAAGGACGACGCAGAUUUUUUUUCUUCAUUUUUAGUAGGUUUUUAAUGUCUUUUGUAUCAUGAGUGAAAAUUGGUUUGAUGACCUUUCAGAUUUGUUUGAAGUAGAUGGUGAAUUAAACGUAGAUUUGUUAGAUCG